rnacentral:miRNA from 1 species
UAGAGAGGGAGGAGAGAGUGAGAAGAGAGAGAGAGAGAGACUCUCUCUCUCUCUCUCUCUCUCUCUCUCUCUCUCUCUCUCUAUUUUUUAAU